rnacentral:rRNA from 1 species
AGUGAACGCUGGCGGUAGACCUAACACAUGCAAGUCGAACGGCAGCACAGUAAGAGCUUGCUCUUACGGGUGGCGAGUGGCGGACGGGUGAGGAAUACAUCGGAAUCUACUUUUUCGUGGGGGAUAACGUAGGGAAACUUACGCUAAUACCGCAUACGACCUACGGGUGAAAGCAGGGGAUCUUCGGACCUUGCGCGAUUGAAUGAGCCGAUGUCGGAUUAGCUUGUUGGCGGGGUAAAGGCCCACCAAGGCGACGAUCCGUAGCUGGUCUGAGAGGAUGAUCAGCCACACUGGAACUGAGACACGGUCCAGACUCCUACGGGAGGCAGCAGUGGGGAAUAUUGGACAAUGGGCGCAAGCCUGAUCCAGCCAUACCGCGUGGGUGAAGAAGGCCUUCGGGUUGUAAAGCCCUUUUGUUGGGAAAGAAAAGCAGCAGGUUAAUACCCCGCUGUUCUGACGGUACCCAAAGAAUAAGCACCGGCUAACUUCGUG